AUGAGGUCGUCUAGUGGAGUGUUGUCACACUUCCGGUCGGGCUCGAGUGAAGUGGCGGCCCACGUCAUCUCAGGGACUUCAAGUGUCUGUGAACACAUUGAAUACGUGAGGAAGUGGCCAAGAAAUACAGGGAUAAAACAGGCAAACAAAAGGGGCAUGGUUGACCUAUGCUGGAAGUUUGAACCUACAGUGCCCACUUUACAACGUUGAAAAGCACCACCACAGAAAUCGGUCAUACAUACAGGAUCACAGACACAAUCAAAAGGUUUCAUUCUCCAUGAAGUCUUAUCGAAGAUUACACCGAGAUUUUUACGUCACUGACGAAAAGGAGAUUUCGUCCAUUCAGUGCAAGAUGAGCAUCAUGGGGCCUUGUCCAGCUUAUAACAUCUCGGCACGGGCCGCACAGAAAACACAGCUCUUCUAUUGUUG